CCACUGACGGAGAUUGACUUGUCCAACUGUGGCAACCAGUCGCGUGCGCCGCUGUCAUAUGGUCCCUUGUUGGCCACUUCUGCGCCUCUAUUGUCGCCAGUGGGCAGUGGCCAACCGUUCAUCCCGGGGACUGUCUACUGUUCUGUGCUUGAUGCUAUGAUGGUAUCUUUCCUGCAUUCGGCUACAAUGGCUUUUUCUCAGCGGUGCACAGUGCGUAUUCUGUCCCGAUGGGCUGUGUGUGCUGGUUGAAGCCGACGGCGUUCACCCGGCGUGGAAGUCGCUCGCGGGCUGUGGAGAUGCGCCGUUAUGUGAUCGUCACCGAUGGUUCACUGCAACCUUGGCAAAAAUGACUGUCCACUUACGGGGAUUGACUUGGCACUCCAGCUGUAGCAACCUCUCGCGUGCGCCGCCGUCGUGUGGGCCCAUGGUGGCCACUUCUGCGCCUCUAUUGUUGCCAGUGCGCAGUGUAUUCGGAGUGCCGUCGGCCAAAGCUAUUCUGAGCCAGGACUCGGCAACUUCGUGGCGCCAUCCUGCAGACGCAUCGCAAGUUUCUGUGGACACUCUACACUCUUGGCUCGGGCAGUGGCCACCCGUUCAUCCCCCGGGGACUGUGCGCUGUUCUGUACUUGAUGCGUCGAUGCACCUUCGCUGCAUCGCGCUGCCAUGGCGUUUUCUCUGUGGUGCUCAGUGCGUGUUCGGUCCGGAUGGCACAGGUUACUGUGGCAUCCACCUCCGCGGACUAAAUGCAGCCAUGCCGGAAUUGGAGGAACCGAGUCGGCGUUGAGCAAAGCAGUUUCUAGAAGGCGAGUGGAGCUGCUUGCUCCCGUGAAACCGAGUGGAUGUUGAGCAAAGCAGCUUGCAGUCUUUGUGACAGCGGCACUUACCGGCAGAAUGGUCGACGUGCAAGUGACGUGUGCAUCACAUCAGGAGCGUAGAGGAUGCGCCAAAAUGCUUUCAGCCAAUACCGUCGGUCUUGGGGAGUGUGCACUGUUCUGUGGAUGUGGUGCCUGGAUUGUAUCUUCCUUGCAUCCGGCUACGCUGGUUUUUUCUCGGCGGUGCACUGCUCACACCGCGUGCGCCGAUUAAAGCGGCCGGCGUUCAUCCGGCGUGGAAGUCGCUCGCGGGCUGCGGAGAUGCGCCGUUAUGCGCUUCGUCACCGACGGAUUGCGGCUAUCGCUGCAACCUUGGCGAAAAUGACUGUCCACUUACGGGGAUUGACUUGGCACUCCAGCUGUGUCAACCUGUCGCGUGCGCCGUGUGGGCCCAUAGUGGCCACUUCUGCGCCUCUAUUGUUUCCAGUGCGCAGUGUAUUCGGAGUGCCGUCGGCCAAAGCUAUUCUGAGCCAGGACUCGGCAACUUCGUGGCACCAUCCUGCAGACGCAUCGCAAGUUUCUGUGGACACUCUACACUCUUGGCUCGGAUUCUGGGGCUCAAGUCACACACCUCAGUUCCAUCGUCACCGUGUUCGUGCAGAUGGGGCUGUUGUCGAGCCAUACUUCUUAAAUGCGCUGUUCCAAUCAGUCACGUGCCACACGAGGAAGACGUUACCAUUCGUUAGCGAGAGCGUCACCAAAGGCAGCCGUUAUCGUCGCUCCCAGCAGUCCCCUAAAAGCUAUAUAGCAGUAUGCCUGGAGAGACUUUGCCAGCCAAAUGCUAUGCCAAGACCUGGAACCUUCGUAAGGCCGUGUGGCCUGCGAGCCGGUCGACAGCGAGGCCUAGCGUUCAGGAGGACGACACAGUGAGCCCUGGCGGAGACGCUUCUUCCUGCGCGGGAUACUGUGGCAUCAACCUCCGCGGAUUGAAUGUGGUCGGACCAGAAUUGAAGAAACCGAGUCGGUGUGGAGCAAAGCACCUUGCAGUUUGGGUCUUAACGGCACUGGCCAGCAGAAUUGGGCGGCCUACUGUGGCAUCCAUCUCCAAGGAAGGCGAGUGGACCUGGAUGCUCCCAUGAAAGCGAGUCGACUUUGAGCAAAGGAGCUCGUGGCAUUCGUCACUGCUGAGGCCAAUGCCGUUGAAAUAUGCCGUGCUGUUGUGGAUGUCGGGAGUUUCGGCAUCGUAUUCUACAUCGUGAACUUCGUAGCCGACGUGCAAGUGACGUGUGUAUGACAGCAGGAGCGUAGAGGAUGCGCCAAAAUGCUUUCAGCGAUGUGCAAACAACGUGUGCAUGGCCUCAGGAGCAUAGAGGAUGCGCCAAAAUGCUUUCUGCGACGUGCAAACAACGUGUGCAUGGCCUCAGGAGCGUAGAGGAUGCGCCAAAAUGCUUUGUGCUGUCCCCUAACGGAGACUCCGGCUAUGGCAAUCGGUCGCGUGCGUCGCAGUCGUGUGGGCCCUUGGUUCCUGCUGUAUGCAGUGGGCCGCUGCUAACCGUUCAUCUCGGGGAUUGUACGCUGUUCUGUAUCUGUGCGUGAUACGUCGAUGGUAUCUUCCCUGCAUCGGGCAAGAAUGGCUUUUUCUCAGCGCUGCUCAGUGCGUGCUCAGGCCGGAUGGAAGGAUCCACAUCGUUGCCUCGUUGCCAUGUAUGUCAGUGGAAGCGCCCGGUGUCCACCUGUUGUGGCAGUCAGUCGCGUGCAGCGCCGUUACCGACUCGUCAGCGGUGGUCAUUCCCAUCGCUGUAUCCUUUAGGACACUGACGGUUGCCGACCUCGAUGUUGCGACGGCCUCUGUCCAUCCGCAGUGGCAAUCAGUCGCGUGCAGCAAGGUUCACGCCCUCAUCUGUGAACGCAGUCAUCACGGCCUGCCUGCUGUCACGAGGGAUUAAUCCACGUACGGAGAUGGACACAGCACUCCGGCUGUGGCAAUCGGUCGCGUGCGCCGCCGUCACGUGGUCAGUGGGGUUUCUGCAUCCCGGUUGUCACCACCAUUGAACGGAUCAUCGUUUGCGAGGCGGCGCACCUGAGGGACACUGACGUUGCUGCCUUUGUACGGAUUGUAUACGUCGGUGCAAGCGGACGGCGUUCACCCGCUGUGGCAGUCAGUCGCGUGCUGCGAAGUUCCGCCGUCAUUUGCUUGGAAGGUUGCAGUCAACGGCGCAUCCCUGGUGACGCUGAGGAAUUCGCUGUGUGGUUUUGGAUGUCAAAACUACAACAUCGUGUUCCAUUCGUGAACUUUGAGGAAUAUGCAUCAGCGGAGGAUUUGUGGCAGCUUCGGGACACCUUCGUGGCAACGUAGCCAUAGCUGUGCACCCGAAGUGGACAUGCUGGAUCCUAGCGGUCGCGCACUCGUCGCUGGUUCCCUGCUGUCACCACUGGUUAGUGGUCUACUACAGUGUGAAAACACCAGUGGAAGCGCACUUGGAUACCCUGCGGGAGUCAGUCACGUGUGUCGCCGUCAUGUAUUCGUCAGCGUCGCAGUCGUCGUUGCAGCCACCUUUGCGCGGCCUACUGCGGCAUCCAGCGUCGCUAUGGACGCUUUCAUUUCUUGUAGCCGACGACAGAAGCAUUGACAAAGGCGGAGAUGACUCCAGAGAAACCGACCGAGGAGAUCAAUGCCCAUUAUGGUGCAGUUGUCGUCGAGUCUUACUUAUUCUGCUGUGACAAUCGGUGGUGUGCUACAUGCCACAUGAACGUGACAUCUCCUCAUCAGCGACAACAUCACGAAAGGCCCUCAUGGGACAACCAACUUCCAGGGCGUGACUCCGAUGCACGGGGAGGCCGCUGCAGCAGUCAGUCCAACAAGGUCUUCGGGCCACCCUCAAGGCGUAGUACACCAGGCUUCAACAAAGAAUAUCGAUAGAGGAGAAUCA